rnacentral:rRNA from 1 species
GACGGAAGGUGCAAGCGUUGCUCGGAACCACUGGGCGUAAAGGGUGCGUAGGCGGCUUGGUCAGUUGGGUGUGAAAGCCCCGGGCUCAGCCCGGGAAGGGCACUCGAAACUGCCGAGCUGGAGUGCCGGAGGGGAGAGUGGAAUUCCCGGUGUAGCGGUGAAAUGCGCAGAUAUCGGGAGGAACACCAAUGGCGAAGGCAGCUCGCUGGGACGGUACUGACGCUGAGACGCGAAAGCGUGGGGAGCAAACAGG